UACGUAGGGUGCGAGCGUUAAUCGGAAUUACUGGGCGUAAAGCGUACGCAGGCGGCUAGGUAAGACAGAUGUGAAAUCCCCGGGCCUAACCUGGGAACUGCAUUUGUGACUGCCUGGCUCGAGUCCGUCAGAGGGGGGUGGAAUUCCACGUGUAGCAGUGAAAUGCGUAGAUAUGUGGAGGAACACCGAUGGCGAAGGCAGCCCCCUGGGAUGAGACUGACGCUCAGGUACGAAAGCGUGGGGAGCAAAC
rnacentral:rRNA from 1 species